rnacentral:rRNA from 1 species
UGGGGAAUAUUGCACAAUGGGCGCAAGCCUGAUGCAGCCAUGCCGCGUGUAUGAAGAAGGCCUUCGGGUUGUAAAGUACUUUCAGCGGGGAGGAAGGGAGUAAAGUUAAUACCUUUGCUCAUUGACGUUACCCGCAGAAGAAGCACCGGCUAACUCCGUGCCAGCAGCCGCGGUAAUACGGAGGGUGCAAGCGUUAAUCGGAAUUACUGGGCGUAAAGCGCACGCAGGCGGUUUGUUAAGUCAGAUGUGAAAUCCCCGGGCUCAACCUGGGAACUGCAUCUGAUACUGGCAAGCGUGAGUCUCGGAGAGGGGGGUAGAAUUCCAGGUGUAGCGGUGAAAUGCGUAGAGAUCUGGAGGAAUACCGGUGGCGAAGGCGGCCCCCUGGACGAAGACUGACGCUCAGGUGCGAAAGCGUGGGGAGCAAACAGG